rnacentral:rRNA from 1 species
AUUGAACGCUGGCGGCAUGCCUUACACAUGCAAGUCGAACGGCAGCACGGGAGCUUGCUCCUGGUGGCGAGUGGCGAACGGGUGAGUAAAGCAUCGGAACGUGCCCUGAAGUGGGGGAUAACGUAGCGAAAGUUACGCUAAUACCGCAUAUUCUGUGAGCAGGAAAGCAGGGGAUCGCAAGACCUUGUGCUUUAGGAGCGGCCGAUGUCGGAUUAGCUAGUUGGUGAGGUAAAGGCUCACCAAGGCGACGAUCCGUAGCGGGUCUGAGAGGAUGAUCCGCCACACUGGGACUGAGACACGGCCCAGACUCCUACGGGAGGCAGCAGUGGGGAAUUUUGGACAAUGGGCGCAAGCCUGAUCCAG